rnacentral:rRNA from 1 species
UACGGAGGGUGCAAGCGUUAAUCGGAAUUACUGGGCGUAAAGCGCACGCAGGUGGCUAAGUCAGUCGAUUGUGAAAGCCCUGGGCUUAACCUGGGAAUUGCAGUCGAUACUACUUAGCUAGAGUAUGGGAGAGGGCAGUGGAAUUCCCGGUGUAGCGGUGAAAUGCGUAGAUAUCGGGAGGAACAUCAGUGGCGAAGGCGGCUGCCUGGCCCAAUACUGACACUCAGGUGCGACAGCGUGGGGAGCGAACAGG